CAAACCAUAGUCAUCUCUUCUUUGCAGCUGAGAAUUAGAUGUUUCCCAGUUUGCUUUGCAGUUAGAAGUGGUCAUGUGACUGAGUUCUAGCCAGUGUAAUGGGAAAGUGUUCUGUGUUCUUUCCAGGUCUGGCCCAUAAAACCCUCCCACAUGUGAUCCUCCAUGCUCUUUUUGUUCUUCCAGUUAACAGGAAUAAAGGUGUUUCCUAGGCUGCUCUUGGAAGGCACGUGUUAAAAAUGGAGCACCUCUGUCUUAGAUCACUGAAAUUGGAUCUCUGCUAUACAAGUCAAACUUAAUUAUAACUGAAAGAGUUAUAACACAAUCCAGAGGAGGAUUAUCUGCCCUGAAAGAAACAACUUGGUGAUCACAGAAAAAUCAAUCAGUGCAUUCUCUGGAGAUUACAAUAUGCAUCCUUAAUUUAUCACAGUAUAUUUCAAGUUAACAUUGUGUCACUCCAUGUAAAGUGAAAUAAUCGUACAACAGCCUGGAUAAAAUGAUUGAGAAUUUCCAUCCCAUGAUCCAUGAUCUGCAACACAUAAAAUAGAGGACAAACUGAGGUUUGAGACCAUUAUCACAGUGGUGCGCAAUUUAUGCUUAAUUCGUCUGUAGGCUCAUAGACUAGUUUCACCUGACCUCCAUUCCACAAG
rnacentral:lncRNA from 1 species